UACGAAGGGGGCUAGCGUUGCUCGGAAUUACUGGGCGUAAAGCGCACGUAGGCGGCUUUCUAAGUCGGGGGUGAAAGCCUGUGGCUCAACCACAGAAUUGCCUUCGAUACUGGUUGGCUUGAGACCGGAAGAGGACAGCGGAACUGCGAGUGUAGAGGUGAAAUUCGUAGAUAUUCGCAAGAACACCAGUGGCGAAGGCGGCUCACUGGCCCGAUACUGACGCUGAGGCACGAAAGCGUGGGGAGCAAACAGG
rnacentral:rRNA from 1 species